AAAAAAAAAAACGACAAGGUCUCCGUUGGUGAACCAGCGGAGGGAUCAUUACAGAGUUACUACUCCAAACCCAUUGUGAACCUUACCUAUGUUCUGUUGCCUCGGCGGCGUGGUCAGCGCCCCCUCUGAAAAGAGGACGAUGCCCUCCCGCCGGCAGCACCAAACUCUUUGAAUUUUACAGCGGAUUACAGUUCUGAUUUGAAAACAAAAAACAAGUUAAAACUUUCAACAACGGAUCUCUUGGUUCUGGCAUCGAUGAAGAACGCAGCGAAAUGCGAUAAGUAAUGUGAAUUGCAGAAUUCAGUGAAUCAUCGAAUCUUUGAACGCACAUUGCGCCCGGCAGUAAUCUGCCGGGCAUGCCUGUCCGAGCGUCAUUUCAACCCUCGAACCUCCGUUUCCUCAGGGAAGCUCAGGGUCGGUGUUGGGGCGCUACGGCGAGUCUUCGCGACCCUCCGUAGGCCCUGAAAUACAGUGGCGGUCCCGCCGCGGUUGCCUUCUGCGUAGUAAGUCUCUUUUGCAAGCUCGCAUUGGGUCCCGGCGGAGGCCUGCCGUCAAACCACCUAUAACUCCAGAUGGUUUGACCUCGGAUCAGGUAGGGUUACCCGCUGAACUUAAGCAUAUAA
rnacentral:rRNA from 1 species